rnacentral:rRNA from 1 species
UACGGGAGGCAGCAGUGGGGAAUAUUGGACAAUGGGCGCAAGCCUGAUCCAGCCAUGCCGCGUGAGUGAUGAAGGCCUUAGGGUUGUAAAGCUCUUUUGUCCGGGACGAUAAUGACGGUACCGGAAGAAUAAGCCCCGGCUAACUUCGUGCCAGCAGCCGCGGUAAUACGAAGGGGGCUAGCGUUGCUCGGAAUCACUGGGCGUAAAGGGCGCGUAGGCGGCCAUUUAAGUCGGGGGUGAAAGCCUGUGGCUCACCACAGAAUUGCCUUCGAUACUGGAUGGCUUGAGUUCGGUAGAGGUUGGUGGAACUGCGAGUGUAGAGGUGAAAUUCGUAGAUAUUCGCAAGAACACCGGUGGCGAAGGCGGCCAACUGGACCGACACUGACGCUGAGGCGCGAAAGCGUGGGGAGCAAACAGGGAUUAGAUACC